GUGCAAAUAUGGGCGAGAGGGAGCGGGAGUAUGUAGGGCGUAAGCUGUAUCGGGAUGUUUUUGGCAGAAAGCGGGUCUAGGCGGGUUAUUAGGUCGGAGGGGAAAAUGCGGGGCUCAACUCCGUAGUGCGUUGGAAACUGGUAGACUAGAGUAUUGGAGAGGUAGGCGGAACUACAAGUGUAGAGGUGAAAUUCGUAGAUAUUUGUAGGAAUGCCAAUUGGGAAGCCAGCUUACUGGACAAAUACUGACGCUGAGGCGCGAAAGCUAGGGGAGCAAACAGGAUUAGAUACCCGAGUAGUC
rnacentral:rRNA from 1 species